rnacentral:rRNA from 1 species
GACGAACGCUGGCGGCGUGCUUAACACAUGCAAGUCGAACGGAAAGGCCCUGCUUUUGUGGGUUGCUCGAUUGGCGAACGGGUGAGUAACACGUGAGUAACCUGCCCUUGACUUUGGGAUAACUUCAGGAAACUGGGGCUAAUACCGGAUAGGAGCUCCUGCUGCAUGGUGUGGGUUGGAAAGUUUCGGCGGUUGGGGAUGGACUCGCGGCUUAUCAGCUUGUUGGUGGGGUAGUGGCUUACCAAGGCUUUGACGGGUAGCCGGCCUGAGAGGGUGACCGGCCACAUUGGGACUGAGAGACGGCCCAGACUCCUACGGGAGGCAGCAGUGGGGAAUAUUGCACAAUGGGCGGAAGUCUGAUGCAGCAACGCCGCGUGCGGGAUGACGGCCUUCGGGUUGUAAACCGAUUUCGCCUGUGACGAAGCGUGAGUGACGGUAAUGGGUAAAGAAGCACCGGCUAACUACGUG